ensembl:misc_RNA Metazoa_SRP Metazoan signal recognition particle RNA
GCCAGGCGUGGUGGUGCACGCCUGUAAUCCCAGCUACUUGGGAGGCUGAGGCAGGAGAGUUGCUUGAACCUAGGAGCCGAAGGUUGCAGUGAGCUGAGACCGUGCCACUGCACUCCAGCCUGGGCAACACAGCAAGACUCUGUCUCAA